AUGACCUUCGAAUUUCUCUACCGAUCGCGGCUUCUUCGAUCUCCAGUAGCCAUGGAUCUCGCGUUCAGCAUCAACAACACAAUGUAUCCCUCCAACUUCAGCGCCGAUGCUAAACCUUCGCCUCCCUCUUUUCACACUUCAUCAUCUCAUUUCUGUAAAUCUGCUUCAAACAUCACAAAUCAAAUUUCCAGUUUAAACUCGGCCUCCCAUGUUCAAGCUUAUCCGAGCGAAAGAGAGGAAAAAAUGGAAUCAAAUAAGAUCUGA